UAGGCAGCGGCAGUCAAUGCGGCGUCUAUGUAUAUAUGUCUAUGGGUACAACACUCACCAACACUGUGUUUGACUUUGUACAAUCUUUCUUAGCAUAUCAGGCCAAGGCAGGCUGUCUUUGGUGUCUCCCAGGCACAGACGGAGGAGGUUCAACUCUACAUCUAUGCAUUACGGCAGACAGCAGACAACUCUCUCACACACACGCUAACUCUUAUUCUGUUACACCAUAUCACUGCGCCUGGGAGCCUAUCACAUCAUUGUAAACACUGACGUACUAGGAACUGCAUUACUGCUUAACAAAAGGCAAAUUAGCUUUAUGCAUCUGCGUUACAAUAUUAUAUGGUCUUAUAUAUAUUAUAUGUUAAAUGUGUAAAGAAAAAGUCGGGCGAAAUCGAAAGUGAUGAAAAAAGUGGCCAGCACAAAUAACGGACUUUCUGUGAUCCUACAGCUAGUCUCACCAGGCUAACGUUGGCUAACGUUACAGGCGACUGGCCUCACACUCAUCCUGCAAACCCGCCUUUCAGUAACGGUAAAGAGGAACUUCGGGCAAGCUUUCACUCUGGCAGCAAAAUGACGAGUCGGUGCGUGUGUGGGACUCGCAAGUCCGACAAACUAGUUCUAAGAUGGAGAAGGCAGGAGGAGAGGAGACGAGACGAGAGGACACCAGGAGACAAGGGGACAAAUCCUGGUGCCAAAUCUAUCAAGAUUUGGCACCAACAGAGGCAGAGUUGUUCGAGGGUCAGCUGAACGAGGAGAUGGGGCAUGCUGUCCCUGUGUGGCAUGUUCAUGCCCAUGCCACCUCAUGGCUGGGAAUAGGAUGACAAGCAAUGAAGGGGAGCAGAAGAGGGCAUUAGAGAAGAGCAAGGCUCUCUUUCUUCUGAAAAGAUACCCCUCCACUGAGGAGAAGUCUGAGCUGUUAGUGAGGGGCUUCAGAUGAAGACUGUGAACAAAUGGUUCAUUAAUUACAGAUACACCAUGUUUCUUGAACUGCGGAGGCGGGCAGUUAAGAAAAUAACAAUGGAAACACGGAGGCCGAUGUGGACCGCUUGGUGACGAGGGGCACAAACCUGGCCUUUGCCCACCUCCUUGGUAAUGGGAGAGUGCUGAAUGAGUCCUGCAGGGACACUGUGAAAACAUACCUGCAGGCUUGGCUCAAGGCCCUAAGGGGGGGAAAGGACCCCAAUGCCGAGGCCAUUAAGGCAGUCCAGGACAUGAAGAGUGCCUAGGGUGUGUGUGUGUGUGUGUGUGUG